rnacentral:rRNA from 1 species
GGUUGUAAAGUACUUUCAGCGGGGAGGAAGGGAGUGAGGUUAAUAACCUCAUUCAUUGACGUUACCCGCAGAAGAAGCACCGGCUAACUCCGUGCCAGCAGCCGCGGUAAUACGGAGGGUGCAAGCGUUAAUCGGAAUUACUGGGCGUAAAGCGCACGCAGGCGGUCUGUCAAGUCGGAUGUGAAAUCCCCGGGCUCAACCUGGGAACUGCAUUCGAAACUGGCAGGCUUGAGUCUCGUAGAGGGGGGUAGAAUUCCAGGUGUAGCGGUGAAAUGCGUAGAGAUCUGGAGGAAUACCGGUGGCGAAGGCGGCCCCCUGGACGAAGACUGACGCUCAGGUGCGAAAGCGUGGGGAGCAAACAGGAUUAGAACCCCCCGGUAGCAGAUGGAG